rnacentral:tRNA from 1 species
AAAAGAGUAGUUUAUUUUAAAAUAUUGAAUUGUAGAUUCAUAGAAAUGUCUUUUG